rnacentral:rRNA from 1 species
UACGUAGGGUCCGAGCGUUGUCCGGAUUUAUUGGGCGUAAAGAGCGUGUAGGCGGCUUGGUAGGUCCGCUGUGAAAACUCGAGGCUCAACCUCGAGACGCCGGUGGAAACCAUCAGGCUAGAGUCCGGAAGAGGAGAGUGGAAUUCCUGGUGUAGCGGUGAAAUGCGCAGAUAUCAGGAAGAACACCCGUGGCUAAGGCGGCUCUCUAGUACGGUACUGACGCUGAGACGCGAAAGCGUGGGGAGCGAACAGG